CCUACGGGAGGCUGCAGUGGGGAAUAUUGGGCAAUGGGCGAAAGCCUGACGCAGCGACGCCGCGUGAGGGAUGAAGGUCUUCGGAUCGUAAACCUCUGUCAGCAGGGAAGAACGGUCACUGUGCUAAUCAGCAGUGAAUUGACGGUACCUGCAAAGGAAGCACCGGCUAACUCCGGGCCAGCAGCCGCGGUAAUACGGAGGGUGCGAGCGUUAAUCGGAAUUACUGGGCGUAAAGCGCUCGGAGGCGGUAUGUCAAGUCAAGGGGGAAAUCCCCGGGCCCAACGGGGGAACUGCCUUUGAAACGGGCAAACUGGAGUGUGUGAGAGGGUAGUGGGAUUCCGGGUGGAGGAGUG
rnacentral:rRNA from 1 species